AGAGAUACAGAUACCUGGACAAAAUUGGGCACGUCUUCUUCUCCGCGAACCUCGCGUCCUCCUCGCCUUCCUUCCUACAAGUCUCCUCCCCUCCCCAUGCCUCCCUCGGGCCUCGCUUCUCGUGCUCUUCCUCUCCUGCCCCCGCCAGCCUCCAACAACCCGCGAGGGCGCCGUCCGCCCCUGCCUCCGGGAGCGAUGAUGAUCGCGCGACGCCUGCUCUGAUCCAACAAUGCCCCCGCCCAGGCAAGCAGCUUAUUGAAGCAUGUAACUGGCACCGCAAGUUUGCAAGGCUAUGCGGAUAGCUUGUUGGAUGCGACAGUCAGACAUUUUGGUUCAGCACCGUCUGCUCAGCCUGAAGAAAAUGGGUUCAAGGGCCACGGCAUGCUGGCGCCUUUUACAGCUGGCUGGUAGAGCAAUGAUUUGCACCCUCUGAUCAUUGAGAGAUCUGAGGGUUCCUAUGUCUAUGACAUUAAUGGGAACAAGUAUCUGGACUCUCUUGCAGGAUUAUGGUGCACAGCUUUAGGUGGUAGCGAGCCUCGAUUAGUCAAAGCAGCAACUGAGCAAUUAAACAAAUUACCCUUCUACCAUUCCUUCUAGAACCGUACAACAAAACCUUCGUUGGAUCUUGCGCUGGAGAUCCUUAGCAUGUUCACUGCAAGGGAAAUGGGGAAAGUUUUCUUCACAAACAAUGGUUCAGAAGCAAAUGACUCUCAGGUGUCCCUAUUUUACAGCCCCUCAGUACCAUCAAUGGUGUUUUUUUGCCGGACACGUAGGAGAGUUGAGUAACAUUAUAUUAAGAAGAAUACCAUCAAUGGUGGUGCUGUCAGCGUUCUUUGCUUUUACUGCAGAUAACUGAAAGUGUUUAAAUACUGAUUUUUGCAUCAGCAGCUCAUCUUUAAAGAACUUAAACACAAAAACUGAAAGUAAAGUUACAUGGUCUUUACACCUCGCUAAAGAAAUAUGUCUGUGCUCUCUCAUUACUGGUAAUAAAAUGGUUGUUGGUUCAUCGACCAUGGUAUUCAUGUAUCCAUCAUAGCCCAAUUUCUCUUUGAAAUAUACCUAGCUAGUUGGCAGACCUUGAAGCUUUCUAUUCUAGCAUUUUAGUAUGUUGUUUUUAUUUCUCUUUGAUAUAGACAUGGUUUUGUUUCUAAUAGGUCUAUUGCUUUCAGAGAUAAUAUGCUCAACCUUUGCAACCCUGAGUUGCAUAGAACUACCCUAGUUGAGCUCUCCAAGGUCCCUCCUGUGCCUUGUCUGCAGAUUAUAAAUCUCAGCAACGAAAGAUUUAGCCCGAUUUUAGCUCUAGAGAGAAUUCUUGCCUGAAUUCUUAUUAGUGAAACUCUGCAUCUUGUGGUAUGAUAUGUUUUUCUGGGAUUAGGAUGGUUCGGUUUUAAUGCUGGCUGCAGGGGCUAUCAUAUAACUAGGUAAUUAAACAACAUUUCUUCUUGAUCAAAUCUGGGUGUGCAACGACUGCACUAUUUGAAAUCUUGCAGAUUUUAACAUGAGGGUGCAUGGUUAUGUUGUGCGAUUAGAUCCAUCUAUGAAUUGUUUGUGCUUCUACAUUUAGGAACAAUGGGCAAUUAGGAUUUUUUAUGUAUGUUUUGAAUGAUUCUUAAUUGUUGCAGUAACAGUGACAAGAUAGGUUGUUUAAUUAUGUCCUCAUUGCAAUAUCAUUGGUAAAGUAGGCAGUAGUCAUAGGAUAUUCUGUACCAAGGUUGCUUUUUAUAGGAAUUACUUGAACUAAAUAACAACAAUGUAUGAUCUGUCUAGGAAUAAGAUUGUUUAUAUCAUAUUGUAUACAUGCUGAAAGUAGCAGCAAGCAACAGAUUUCCUAAACUAUGUUCCCAAGUAGUUCACAUGUAAUUGUGUGUUCUUGAAGUGCAGAGCAAUCCACCACAACCACGACGCGAAGGACUCCAAGCUACAAUUUCUGCAUCACUAAAACAAAAAAACAACAGUAAUGCAUCCAAGGUGCUCACUCAGGUCCUUCUGUUCUCUUAAAAUUUUAUAUGUGUAAAAUAUCAUGCUGACUGUAGUUAAUAAUCAAGUGCAUUAGUCCUAGGAAAGCUUUGGGCAUUUGGUGAGGAGCGCAAGCAAAAUACGGCAAAAACAUCAUGGCUGGUGUCUAAAUUUGUUUCCAAUCUUCCUAUCACUAAUGUGUUGCCCUUGCACUAUUGGGCUCACCUUGCCAUGCCAUGCUGGGGCAGUGCAGUUGUGCAGGCUUGGAGCUGAAGUUUGGGAGCUGAAGGCAAAGAGGCAGGGACUAUGUGCAGAAAUAAGAAAUAAUGAUUAGAUCAGUCUAGGAUAUACAUGCUUCCCAUUGUAUGAAUUUUUGUGCUAUAAUAUUUUUCCUUCCCCUUCUUUGAAAUGCGAUAUUUGCACAUCUCUUCUCAACUUUGCAUUACUUAUUCCUGUCAUUUUGUAUAUAUUAACCUGUUAUAUUUUCUAUGCUUCAUUUUUUCAGUUCUGAACCUGGAACACUAUGAAGAUGCAAGGGCUUGCUGCAUAUGGAUAUUUGUUUUGCAUAUUGGUUAUUUAUUUAGGAUCUAGAUCACCGAUGACUAUGAGUCAUAUGUAAAUAUAUUUUUAUCAUACCAAAAGUGUCUCGAACAUAUAUUAUAUAUGAAACUAUGGAUCAACUUCUUGUAAUGCAAUUAUUGAUUUUUAAUAUAUAUUAUUUUUUCUUC